rnacentral:rRNA from 1 species
AUACGUAGGUGACAAGCGUUAUCCGGAUUUACUGGGCGUAAAGGGCGUGUAGGCGGUCUUGCAAGUCAGAAGUGAAAUUCCUGAGCUCAACUCGGGCGCUGCUUCUGAAACUGCAGGACUUGAGUGCUGGAGGGGAUAGCGGAAUUCCUAGUGGAGCGGUAAAAUGCGCAGAUAUUAGGAAGAACACCGGUGGCGAAGGCGGCUAUCUGGACAGUAACUGACGCUGAGGCGAGAAAGCGUGGGGAGCAAACAGGAUUAGAUGCCCUGGUAGUCCACGCCGUAAACGAUGAAUACUAGGUGUAGGGGGUAUCGACUCCCUCUGUGCCGCAGUUAACACAAUAAGUAUUCCGCCUGGGGAGUACGGCCGCAAGGUUGAAACUCAAAUGAAUUGACGGGG